GGCAGUCCCGCUACCAACCGCUUUCCCAGCUCCCAGGCAUAAAAGUCCGCCGCCAGCAGGAGCCGGUGUGCCUUCUUCGGCCCCCCACAUUCGUGGACCCCACCCGAGAGCGCCGGCACGACUUCCCUGGCCCCCUACACCAGAGGACCAGAGAACCUCGUCCGAGAGUGUAUGCAUAUUUGCAAAUAAAAGACUGCCACUUUCUUACGUACUUUGGCCUCAUGUUUAAUUACUUAGCUCUCCUAAAUUAAGUUACAUUAAAUUAAAUUAAAACAGCCACCACUGGGCUGGGGUCAAGAGGCUUUACUUCCCACACUUGGGCCUCAAUUGGGACCUCUGAGCUUUCCACUAGUUUCCGUUCCAUGAAGGAGUACAAAUUGGAGUAUGUAGAGACAUAUGUAAGUGGAUAAUUUGGGUUUGAACUAAAUUCUCUGUGACUCUCAUACUUCCCCCAUGUUGCCACAAAAAGUAUUUCUUUCAUGUUGCCAUGUGUCUCUUACUUCAAAUAUGAAGCAGGAAUGUGAUCUAAAGCAUAAGAACAUAGCAAUAGAUAGACCCAUAUACAUGAUUUUGUAAAACUUUAGAAAGGCCAGUCCUACAUGGUUUGUCCAUAUUUGGAUGGUGUAUGGAAGGCACAAAUGAAAGCAUCACUGGCUAUUCUGAACCCCAGGUUUGUGGAAGUGAGUGUAAAGGCCCAGCAGUGAGCCCCAAUCUCACCUGCCCAUCAAAGUUCAGAGACAACAAUCAGAAUAGGCUGCACUUGGCGCUUCCCUGUAGACACAGGAUCUGUGAGUUUGGACAGAUUUCUGGUCAGUUUGGAAGGAAGCUGGCCUCUGUUGACAGAGCACCCCUUAUGGGUCAGUGUUGUGCAGGCAGUCCACGUACACAGUGUGUAUGCGAUGACAGUGCGUCUGCUUGUAGAAGGGGCUGGGUCCCCUCUGCAGAGCCUCUGCAUGGGGCUGCAUGACUGGUUCCGGCUGACUUGCUGAGGAGCGCCCAGGCUGUCCACAAAGGGACUCUUCUUCCUUCCUGAUCUGCAGAGCCAUUUGCAAUGUGUGAUGGCAAGUGCUUUACUUCAGUUUUCAUCCCUGGGCCUGGAGAUUUCUGUGCCCUGGGUUAAUAAACAUAUUAUCUAAAGAGCUUUUAUAUCUUUCUAGAGAAUAAGGAAAAUGAUACUCUGAAGAAUUUCUGUUCCUUUUGUUAUUAUCUCAGGGGAAGGUAGUUAUUAAGUGUUCACUGAUUAGGAUUAAUGUUUCCAAUUUUUGUCAAGAAGAGAAUGUAUGUAUUACUAAUUUGACCAUAAUUUCAAUAGAAACUAUGUCAUUAAAAAUGUUGGCAGUCAUGCAUUUCCUGCAUGGUUAUGAAUUUUUUUCAUGUAUCUACAUAGUAUUUUUAUAAUGGUCUAAUUUUAAUUCAUUCACUUUCUCAGGAAAAUUUUUUUUCCAUUUCAGCAUGUAGUAUUUAUCACCUUUUCAUGAGGCCCACACUCUUCCAAGGAGGCUGCUGAUUGACUUUAAGCUGAUUACCUCCAUUUGUUCUUUCCUUGAUCUUACAACAUCCAUCAGCUUCCUAUGAUUGAAGAAAAGCUUCCAUUUGUAAUAAACCAACUUCUCUCAUCCAAUUAUCAACAUAGACCAAAAAAAAAAAAA
ensembl:lncRNA